rnacentral:rRNA from 1 species
UACGGAGGGUGCAAGCGUUAUCCGGAUUCACUGGGUUUAAAGGGUGCGUAGGUGGACAGGUAAGUCAGUGGUGAAAUCCCCGAGCUUAACUCGGGAACUGCCGUUGAUACUAUCUGUCUUGAAUAUCGCGGAGGUAAGCGGAAUAUGUCAUGUAGCGGUGAAAUGCUUAGAUAUGACAUAGAACACCGAUUGCGAAGGCAGCUUACUACACGAUCAUUGACACUGAGGCACGAAAAGCGUGGGGAGCAAACAGG